rnacentral:rRNA from 1 species
UACGUAGGUGGCGAGCGUUGUCCGGAUUUACUGGGCGUAAAGGGAGCGUAGGCGGACUUUUAAGUGAGAUGUGAAAUACUCGGGCUCAACUUGAGUGCUGCAUUUCAAACUGGAAGUCUAGAGUGCAGGAGAGGAGAAUGGAAUUCCUAGUGUAGCGGUGAAAUGCGUAGAGAUUAGGAAGAACACCAGUGGCGAAGGCGAUUCUCUGGACUGUAACUGACGCUGAGGCUCAAAAGCGUGGGGAGCAAACAGG